UACGAAGGGGGCUAGCGUUGUUCGGAAUUACUGGGCGUAAAGCGCACGUAGGCGGACAUUUAAGUCAGGGGUGAAAUCCCGGGGCUCAACCCCGGAACUGCCUUUGAUACUGGGUGUCUAGAGUCCAGAAGAAGUGAGUGGAAUUCCGAGUGUAGAGGUGAAAUUCGUAGAUAUUCGGAGGAACACCAGUGGCGAAGGCGGCUCACUGGUCUGGUACUGACGCUGAGGUGCGAAAGCGUGGGGAGCAAACAGG
rnacentral:misc_RNA from 1 species